UGCAGCAGUAGCCUAGUGGUUAGAGCAUCUGCCUUGGAUGCAGGAGGUCACAGGUUCGAAACUCAGUCAAGUCAUAACAA